AGUCGAGCGGCAGCACAGAGAAACUUGUUUCUCGGGUGGCGAGCGGCGGACGGGUGAGUAAUGCCUGGGAAAUUGCCCUGAUGUGGGGGAUAACCAUUGGAAACGAUGGCUAAUACCGCAUGAUGCCUACGGGUCAAAGAGGGGGACCUUCGGGCCUCUCGCGUCAGGAUAUGCCCAGGUGGGAUUAGCUAGUUGGUGAGGUAAGGGCUCACCAAGGCGACGAUCCCUAGCUGGUCUGAGAGGAUGAUCAGCCACACUGGAACUGAGACACGGUCCAGACUCCUACGGGAGGCAGCAGUGGGGAAUAUUGCACAAUGGGCGCAAGCCUGAUGCAGCCAUGCCGCGUGUGUGAAGAAGGCCUUCGGGUUGUAAAGCACUUUCAGUUGUGAGGAAGGUGGUGUCGUUAAUAGCGGCAUCAUUUGACGUUAGCAACAGAAGAAGCACCGGCUAACUCCGUGCCA
rnacentral:rRNA from 1 species